rnacentral:rRNA from 1 species
GAUCAUGGCUCAGGAUGAACGCUGGCGGCGUGCCUAAUACAUGCAAGUCGAACGCAUUACUUCGGUAGUGAGUGGCGAACGGGUGAGUAACACGUAGGUAACUUACCUCUAAGACGAGGAUAACGACUGGAAACGGUCGCUAAAACUGGAUAGGAUCAUUUGAGGCAUCUCGAAUGAUUUAAAGGGGCUUUCAAGCCACACUUAGAGAAAGGCCUGCGGCGCAUUAGCUAGUUGGUGGGGUAGAGGCCUACCAAGACGAUGAUACGUAGCCGACCUGAGAGGGUGAUCGGCCACAUUGGGACUGAGACACGGCCCAAACUCCUACGGGAGGCAGCAGUAGGGAACCUUCCGCAAUGGACGAAAGUCUGACGGAGCAACGCCGCGUGAGUGAAGAAAAGGUUUUCGGAUCGUAAAACUCUGUUGUCAGAGAAGAACAAGUUGGAGAGUAACUGCUCCAGCCUUGACGGUAUCUGACCAGAAAGCCACGGCUAACUACGUGCCAGCAGCCGC